rnacentral:rRNA from 1 species
CCUACGGAGGCUGCAGUGAGGAAUAUUGGUCAAUGGGCGCAAGCCUGAACCAGCCAAGUCGCGUGAGGGAAGACGGCCCUACGGGUUGUAAACCUCUUUUGCCGGGGAGCAAGCCUGAGCACGUGUGCCCAGGCGGAGAGUACCCGGAGAAAAAGCAUCGGAUAACUCCGUGCCAGCAGCCGCGGUAAUACGGAGGAUGCGAGCGUUAUCCGGAUUUAUUGGGUUUAAAGGGUGCGCAGGCGGGCUGUUAAGCCGGCGGUAAAAAUUCAGGGCUCAACCCUGUCGAGCCGUCGGAACUGGCAGCCUUGAGUGGGCGAGAAGUAUGCGGAAUGCGUGGUGUAGCGGUGACAUGCAUAGAUAUCACGCAGAACGCCGAUUGCGAAGGCAGCAUCCCGGCGCCCGACUGACGCUGAGGCACGAAAGCGUGGGGAUCGAACAGGAUUAGAUACCCGAGUAGUC